ACUAGUGCAACAGCUAACUCAGCCGAGAGCUAAGAAGAGUAGUGAAGAAUAUUAAUUACAAUAAGAGUUGUGCCGGCAGUGGCAGUGGGGCAAACGCUGCUGUGUGACAGAAGACAAAAGAAAUGAAAACAACUUGGAAACGGGGCAAUUGCUUGCAAGUGUGCGACUUUAGUACUUAGCUAACUGGCAGUGAGCGUAAACGCACAGUAAUCUUGUCGCUGUUGUAAUUCGUGUUUUUUUGUUUUUCUCUUGAUUGGUGUUUAUUUCGAUAUAAAUAUUGUAACUCAAAGUAUUAAAAAUUUGUAUAGUAUAAUACCUCGAUAAACUGGAAACAUUAAAAGCAGAGUGAAAUCAAAUAAGCGCUAGAAUAUAAAACGUGCUUCUUAUGCCUGAUAAGAGCAACAACACAACAACAACAAACAUAAUAUAUACAGCAAACAGCAAAUAAACAGUAUUGAAGUCAACACUUGAGUGGUUUGAAUAAUUAUACAAUAUGUAUUUCGACAGCAAGCUGAUUACGAAAUCGUCACAUUGAAAAGUGAAGUGAUUGAGGUGAA